rnacentral:lncRNA from 1 species
CCGAACCACAGCAUCGACCCAAGCUGCGAAAGUGAAAAUGCUGCAUCCUUAACCCCCUCCGCCACAGGGGAACUCAAUUUUUUUUCCCCUCACAUUUCCUUUGACGAGCUUACCUUUUUUCCCCUCAGUACCAAUCCUGUCCUUAUGCUGACUGAUUCUCAAAUCCGUCUCCUCUUUCCACUUCUGACCUGAGCCCUAAACUUGAACUUUCAACACCUUUCUUGAUAUUAAUAUGUUUCCAUAUUUCUACUGUCCAACAUAUCUCAUACUUUAUUUAUGUACUUAUUGUGCUUUUUUGGGCCACAUCUCUGCAGCUCUAAUUCCACCCCUAGCCUGGGAACUUCCAUUGGCUGCAGGUGCGGCCCCAAAAAGAAAAAUAAAGACAAGAAAUCUAAGCUGGAUCCUAAAGAAUGAGUGAAAUCCAACAAGGUGAAGAGAGAGGGCAGAGAAUAUUCAUUCCUUUCUUUCUGCAAAUAUUCAUGGAACACCAACUAUGUUCCAGGCAUGUUCUAUAUGCCAGAAACACUGCAGUGAACAAAACAGACAAAAAGCCCCUGGCCUCAAGCCAGGAGAGCUCCAGUGCCUCUGGCAUGUGCAGCAGAGCUGUUGGAUGUGUUAGACUAGAGCAGCGUUCUCUGCCCGGCUGCACAUUGAUAACACCAUCACGGGGGAGCUUUCCAACGCCCUGAGUAAUUGAGGCACAAUGCCUGGGAGGGGGACUGGCAUUUUUUAAAGCUUCCUGGGUGGUUCUCCUGGGCAACCAGGGUUUUAAGCCACCCAAUAAGUUGGAGGAACUGGAGAUCAGAGCUAAGGUUAGGGAGGUGAACAGAAGCCAGACCACAGAGGGGCUGUGUGACUCCUGUUAGGUAGUUUUGUCCUAGUCUUGAAGGCACUGGGAGCUACUAUGGGAUUUAAGCAGGAUAAUGACAGGAUGAGAUGAUUCUCACUUUUUUUCCCCCUUUAACAAAGGCUCCAUCCAGAUGCUCUAUGCUCGGUGGGUUCACAUGGAGCAAAAGUAAACUGAUGGCCACUUGGAGGCUGUUGCAGGAACCAAGGAGGAGUGGUGGUCCUGGGCUGGGGUGAUGGAAGUGAGAAUGGAAAGGAAGGGGAAUGUCUGAGAAAGUUGGAAGGAGACUAGGCAGGACUCCGAGAUUCACCGAAAGUAAGGGAUACAGGAGGGCAAAGAGUUGAGCAGCUGGGUUUGUAGGGGGCCUCGCACCAGGGUGAGCAGGUUUGGAGAAAGAGCUGGUGGAUCCACUUGGGACCUGCUGCUUGCUCUCUUCUGCUUGUGAUUCUGUGCUUUUUCUUCUCCACAUGAUAGAGCCCUGGUCUCCUACAAGAUCUGUUUGACACGUUGUCUCUUCCAGGAAGCCUCUCUGAAUUCUCCCCUCCAUUAGCUCUGGCCGAGUGUUGGUUAGGUUGUGAAGUCAGGAUCCUGACCGUAUUUACAGAUAUCUGUUCUGCAGCUUGGGCUCCUCCCACCAGGGAUGUGUUUUAUUCCACACCCUCUGCUUAGCCCAGCACCUGGUACACAUUAAUUCGCGCUUGUUAAAUAGUUGAGUAAUGGAUGAAGAGUGGGCCAGAGACAAGACCUCUCCCAGAAGUGUGAUUAGAAAUGGAUCUGGGGGCUUCCUGUUCUCAUUUCUAGGGAAAAGGAUGGAGAGAUCCAGGGGCAGAGAGGAGGGGAUUUGUUGAGCUGAAUCAGGAAAGAGGCCUCAUUAAUGAGGCUCUGAGGGAGUUCCCUGGUGGCCUAGUGGUUAAGGACUUGGUGUUGUCACUCAGGUUAUAGCUGUGGCUUGGAAAGCUGCUGUUGCUUAGAGUGAUAUGUAGCCAGCUAUCCGAAUGAUCUUUUUUUUCUUAAUUGAAGUAUAGUUGACAUAUUAUGUAAAUUUUAGGUGUACAACAUAGUAAUUCACAAAUUUUAAAGGUUAUAUCCCAUUUAUAGUUAUUAUAAAAUAUUGGCUAUAUUCCCUGUGCUGUGUAAUAUAUCCUUGUAGUUUAUUUAUUUUAUUUUAAUUUUUAAUAUUUUUAUCGCUUUCCAUGGUAUUCUCACAAGUUUCAUUUAUUGCUGUAAAGAUGUAGCAAUACAGAGUGUGGAGCUGACAGAAUAAAUCCCUUGGCUCGCUUUCUGCAUUUCUGGGGGGUAUUUGGCCUUUCUGCAUUUCUGGGGGGUAUUUGGGCAGAAUUUACAUGUAAAUAGUAUUGCAAAAGAAAACCAGAAAUUUCUAGAAAGUCAGAACUAGGCAAGCCCUGAGGGAGCCUUAAGUUCCAGGACAAAAGCUAUCUUGCAGUAAAAGGGAAAUAUAGGAGUUCCCGUCGUGGCACAGUGGUUAACGAAUCCGACUAGGAACCAUGAGGUCGCGGGUUCGGUCCCUGCCCUUGCUCAGUAGGUUAACUAUCCGGCGUUGCUGUGAGCUGUGGUGUAGGUUGCAGACGCGGCUCGGAUCCCGCGUUGCUGUGGCUCUGGCGUAGGCCGGUGGCUACAGCUCCGAUUCAACCCCUAGCCUGGGAACCUCCAUAUGCCGCGGAAGUGGCCCAAGAGAUAGCAACAUCAACAACAACAAAAGA